rnacentral:lncRNA from 10 species
AGAAACACCAGGAAAGGCUAAUACUCACUGAGCUGACAUUUUAUUUUCCCAGGAUCGUGAAUGCUGAAAGAUUGACAGCUCUGGGAAGAGCGCCAUCUCUCAAGUGUGCAUUUUACAAGGAGCAGUGAGUUGAGAUUUCCCCGCUAUGAGGCCUCUGCUGAGGUGACGUGCCCAGCACUCAGCGCAGGAGGGAAGCGUUUCUGUGACUUCUGUAGCUUUUGCUCUAUUCACCAUUGAUUCCAAGUUACUGUGACUUCACAGACAUCUUCAUG